CAGUAGCCGCGGUAAUACGUAGGUGGCAAGCGUUGUCCGGAAUUAUUGGGCGUAAAGGGCUCGCAGGCGGUUUCUUAAGUCUGAUGUGAAAGCCCCCGGCUCAACCGGGGAGGGUCAUUGGAAACUGGGAAACUUGAGUGCAGAAGAGGAGAAUGGAAUUCCACGUGUAGCGGUGAAAUGCGUAGAGAUGUGGAGGAACACCAGUGGCGAAGGCGACUCUCUGGUCUGUAACUGACGCUGAGGAGCGAAAGCGUGGGGAGCGAACAGGAUUAGAUACCCCGGUAGUCCCUGUCUCUUAUAC
rnacentral:rRNA from 1 species